GAUGAACGCUGGCGGCGUGCCUAAUACAUGCAAGUCGAGCGAACAGACGAGGAGCUUGCUCCUCUGACGUUAGCGGCGGACGGGUGAGUAACACGUGGAUAACCUACCUAUAAGACUGGGAUAACUUCGGGAAACCGGAGCUAAUACCGGAUAAUAUAUUGAACCGCAUGGUUCAAUAGUGAAAGACGGUUUUGCUGUCACUUAUAUAUGGAUCCGCGCCGCAUUAGCUAGUUGGUAAGGUAACGGCUUACCAAGGCAACGAUGCGUAGCCGACCUGAGAGGGUGAUCGGCCACACUGGAACUGAGACACGGUCCAGACUCCUACGGGAGGCAGCAGUAGGGAAUCUUCCGCAAUGGGCGAAAGCUUGACGGAGCAACGCCGCGUGAGUGAUGAAGGUCUUCGGAUCGUAAAACUCUGUUAUUAGGGAAGAACAAAUGUGUAAGUAACUAUGCACGUCUUGACGGUACCUAAUCAGAAAGCCACGGCUAACUACGUG
rnacentral:rRNA from 1 species